rnacentral:rRNA from 1 species
UACAGAGGGGGCAAGCGUUGUUCGGAAUUACUGGGCGUAAAGGGCGCGUAGGCGGCCUGCUAAGUCGAACGUGAAAUCCCUGGGCUCAACCCAGGAACUGCGUCCGAUACUGGUUGGCUUGAAUCCGGGAGAGGGACGUGGAAUUCCAGGUGUAGCGGUGGAAUGCGCAGAUAUCAGGAGGAACACCGAUGGCGAAGGCAGCUCGCUGGGACGGUACUGACGCUGAGGCGCGAAAGCGUGGGGAGCGAACAGG